UGGGCAAUCUGCCCCUAGCUCUGGGAUAACUCCGGGAAACCGGGGCUAAUACCGGAUAUGACCACGGUGGACAUCCACUGUGGUGGAAAGCUCCGACGGCUAGGGAUGGGCCCGCGGCCUAUCAGCUUGUUGGUGGGGUAACGGCCCACCAAGGCGACGACGGGUAGCCGGCCUGAGAGGGUGACCGGCCACACUGGGACUGAGACACGGCCCAGACUCCUACGGGAGGCA
rnacentral:rRNA from 1 species